rnacentral:rRNA from 1 species
AGAAUCAACGCUGGCGGCGUGCCUAACACAUGCAAGUCGAACGCGAAAGUCCCGAAAGGGAUAAGUAGAGUGGCAAACGGGUGAGUAACACGUGGGUGACCUGCCUUCGAGCGGGGGAUAACGUCCCGAAAGGGACGCUAAUACCGCAUAACAUCCUGCCUUUUAAGAGGUGGAGAUCAAAGCCGGGGACCGCAAGGCCUGGCACUUGAAGAGGGGCCCGCGUCUGAUUAGCUAGUUGGUGGGGUAAUGGCCUACCAAGGCAACGAUCAGUAUCCGGCCUGAGAGGGCGGACGGACACACUGGGACUGAGACACGGCCCAGACUCCUACGGGAGGCAGCAGUGGGGAAUUGUUCGCAAUGGGCGCAAGCCUGACGACGCAACGCCGCGUGGAGGAUGAAGACCUUCGGGUCGUAAACUCCUUUCGAUCGAGACGAAUGUUUCCGGGUGAACAAUCCGGGAAAGUGACGGUACCGAGAGAAGAAGCCCGGCUAACUCUGUGCCAGCAGCCGC